rnacentral:rRNA from 1 species
UACGUAGGGGGCUAGCGUUGUCCGGAAUCAUUGGGCGUAAAGCGCGUGUAGGCGGUUCGGUAAGUCCGCUGUGAAAGUCGGGGGCUCAACCCUCGAAUGCCGGUGGAUACUGUCGGACUAGAGUACGGAAGAGGCGAGUGGAAUUCCUGGUGUAGCGGUGAAAUGCGCAGAUAUCAGGAGGAACACCAAUAGCGAAGGCAGCUCGCUGGGACGUUACUGACACUAAGGCGCGAAAGCGUGGGGAGCGAACAGG